UAUGUGUUGACUGUCUGUCCAGGUCUCCGGUGGAGCUGUUUAGUGAUUACAGCGUCAAAGACAUGACCUUUAAUCCCCCGGUAGCUCUGCCCCGCACCAAGAAGAAGGAUCGAUUCACAGAUGGAGCCACACUGCUGGACCCCGAGCUGCAGAGACGAGUCAACAGUGUCCUGAACAUUACUGAGGAGACGCCGCUGGACUUUAAUGCAACACAUACACCGAGCCAACACUGACACUACACACACACACACACACACCACACACACACACACACACACAGACACACACACAGACACAGCAGGACAUUGAUUUCCUUUAAACAAAUAAACGGUGAGUUCAGAGACACACAUUCUCUGAGCUGCAGGACUGAGACAUGUUUCCUGAUCCAGAACAAAAAACAGAGUAAACCUGAUGAGGAACUUUCAGUAUUUCUGGAACUACACAUCCCACGAUGCUUUGUAAGAGAAAUGUGAGAAACACCUCAGGUGACAAUGUAAACUAGUUUGUUUUCUGUUGAAAUGAAAAGUUUCAUUUAUACAAUAAAAGUUUUCCAUCAAAGAAAA